AUUGAACGCUAGCGGCAGGCCUAACACAUGCAAGUCGAACGAGUGGCGGACGGGUGAGUAAUGUCUGGGAAACUGCCUGAUGGAGUGGGAUAACUACUAGAAACGGUAGCUAAUACCGCAUACCAUCGCAUUUGCCCCGAUGGGAUUAGCUAGGAGGUGGGGUAAAGUCUCACCUAGGCGACGAUCCCUAGCUGGUCUGAGAGGAUGACCAGCCAAACUGGAACUGAGACACGGUUCAGACUCCGACGGGAGGCAGCAGUGGGGAAUAUUGCACAAUGGGCGCAAGCCUGAUGCAGCCAUGCCGCGUGUAUGAAGAAGGCCUUCGGGUUGUAAAGUACUUUCAGCGGGGAGGCGUUACCCGCAGAAGAAGCACCGGCUAACUCCGUGCCAGCAGCCGCGGUAAUUC
rnacentral:rRNA from 1 species